CAUACUCAGAAUAUUCACAUGUGGUCUUCACACAUUUGGAGAUAUGCUUCCUGAGAGAAAGGACCACGCUUCUCCUGUUUACCAUGCUGUCUCCCACUCUAGCACAUCCUUCAGCGAUGCUGACCGGUGGAAACCAGAGCAGUACCUCGUGUAUACUACGCUAUCGUAAGCUAUUAUAAGCAUUGUUCUUUUUCUUCUCCCACCCAGAAACCUGAAGGUUUUCUUUUCCUUACUCUGUUCCUCUGUGAGUUUUGAGAAUUUCUGUACCUCUCUUAUGAUACACGAUAU
rnacentral:lncRNA from 1 species